GGCCCCGUGGUGUAAUGGUAGCACAUCAGGUUUUGGUCCUGAGUGUCCGGGUUCGAGUCCUGGCGGGGCUACAA
rnacentral:tRNA from 1 species